rnacentral:misc_RNA from 1 species
UGUCACACCAAGAGUUGCCC